GUGGCAGCAGCGGCGGUAAUAAGUAGGUGGCCAAGCGUUGUCCGAAUUAUGGGCGUAAAGCGCGCGCAGGCGGUUUCUUAAGUCUGAUGUGAAAGCCCCCGGCUCAACCGGGAGGGUCAUUGAAACUGGGAAACUUGAGUGCAGAAGAGGAGAGUGGAAUUCCACGUGUAGCGGUGAAAUGCGUAGAGAUGUGGAGGAACACCAGUGGCGAAGGCGACUCUCUGGUCUGUAACUGACGCUGAGGCGCGAAAGCGUGGGGAGCGAACAGGAUUAGAUACCCUGGUAGUCCACGCCGUAAACGAUGAGUGCUAAGUGUUAGAGGGUUUCCGCCCUUUAGUGCUGCAGCUAACGCAUUAAGCACUCCGCCUGGGGAGUACGGUCGCAAGACUGAAACUCAAAGGAAUUGACGGGGGCCCGCACAAGCGGUGGAGCAUGUGGUUUAAUUCGAAGCAACGCGAAGAACCUUACCAGGUCUUGACAUCCUUUGCCACUUCUAGAGAUAGAAGGUUCCCCUUCGGGGGACAAAGUGACAGGUGGUGCAUGGUUGUCGUCAGCUCGUGUCGUGAGAUGUUGGGUUAAGUCCCGCAACGAGCGCAACCCUUGAUCUUAGUUGCCAGCAUUCAGUUGGGCACUCUAAGGUGACUGCCGGUGACAAACCGGAGGAAGGUGGGGAUGACGUCAAAUCAUCAUGCCCCUUAUGACCUGGGCUACACACGUGCUACAAUGGAUGGUACAAAGGGCUGCGAGACCGCGAGGUUUAGCCAAUCCCAUAAAACCAUUCUCAGUUCGGAUUGCAGGCUGCAACUCGCCUGCAUGAAGCUGGAAUCGCUAGUAAUCGCGGAUCAGCAUGCCGCGGUGAAUACGUUCCCGGGCCUUGUACACACCGCCCGUCACCACCCACGAAGCA
rnacentral:rRNA from 1 species